AUGCCACAUCUGAGUGCUCUUCUGGCACAGUUGCAGCCACAUGCGGCCAACCUUGGAUUGCGAAUAUACAGGGGGACUCCGAAAGCCAACAAUGAGGCAGCUUUAAACCCUGUGCGCUGCUGUGAGAUGAAAUCUCCUGCCAGCAGGCAAGGCCUGCUGGCGUCUUCGUCAAGCGUCAGGCGAGUGCAUCAGCCCUGUGUACGGCCCCAGGUUCUCACCUGGCAGCCACCUGGGCUGUCAGAUCCGGUGUCACUGCGUCACCCAAGUGCUUGCUUCUGUGCCCUUAUUUACAGCUCAGUGGAGUGGUGCUGAGCAUGGGGAGGUCCUAGAGAAGCCCAAGGUGCCUCCGCUGGGAGAGGCUAACACUGUAGGCCUUUGGCCUUCGACAAUGUAAGGGAGAAAAGAAAGAGUCGCGCACUGAGGUUGCUAAGAUUGCCACGAGAACAAAUCUAUCCCUGAAACCGUGAGGAAACACAAAGACAUUGCACUGGUUUUGCCUUUGUGCUUGGAACUGCAAACGUUAUGGCCACAGAAUGUGAAGAGAGCUUCGUUACACUGGAAGGGCAUCAAUCUGUGCACAGGGAAAACCUAGUCGAGACAGGGGUUGGCGCACCCUGUAAUCCCAGCACUGGGGGACUGAGGCAGGAGGGUUGCAAGUUUGACCCAACCUGAGUCUGCUUCGCCGCCACCCCCAAGAUCUUCCCACAACAUCUGCUAGGGGUCCUGUGGGUGUCAGGGAGCGUCUCGGUGUGGCCAGCCGGGAGCUGGGGGGGUGCAUGUGAGGCCUGCUUGGACACUGCGUGUACACUACAGUGACCAGACCAGAAAAGUAUGCAGUUUCAAGCCGGGCAUGGUGGUGCUAACCUGUAAUCUCAGCACUCAGGAGGCUGAGGCAGGAGGGUCACCACAAGUUCAAGGCCAGCCUGGGCUACAUAGUGAGACCCUGUCUCUUACUUCCUGACCUUUCUAUCUUUUAGUUCAUUAUUAUUUUUUGGUACCGGGGAUUGAACUUGGGACCUUGCACUUGCAAGGCAGGCACUGGAACCACUGAGCUAACUCCCCAGCCCUCCUUUCUAUCUUUUAAAUAAACUUGUUUGCAACCUAUGUCCUCUGUCUGGUUUCAUUGUUCCUCACCCGGGACAGGACCCCUACGUCUGCUGCCAGGACUGAAAACGGUGUGCUCUCCCUGUGCGCAACCUGAGGGCAGAGCCCGGCCCGGAUGGCACCAGCGCCCCCAGCCCGGAAAGGACACCUCACUGAUUUCACAGGAUCCUAUCCGCCGCUCCUGCGUUCCCAGUUUACUUUCG
rnacentral:lncRNA from 1 species